AAUACCGUAUGAUUGCCGACUCAUGAAUUCUCGACGUUAUGUUGCGAAACGCGUGAAACGGCGAGAAAGGUGGUUGAUCACUUCCGGUCUUCUGUUCUCGCUGUUUGUUUACUAUAGGCCCAGUAGCGAUAUUUUUAUUUAGUGCUUUCUUGUAGUUUAAAUGUGGCAUCAUCUGGUUAAAUGGAAACGAGAAAUAGAAGGAAUGUUCGAGCAGAACUGUACUGCCUGGUAGCCUACCUGUCUUUUGUUUGCUACCUAAGGGCCUAGGGGAGUGCCAGCUUGUGAAGCAAAUAUAUUUCAUGUUGAUUUAUUGUGAUACUGAUAAAUAUUUGCAUCACUAUCAGAUGAUUUAUCAAGUUUUGAAGAGAAAAGUUGUGGUAGUUCAGUCGAACAAAUGGAGAAUCAAACAGAAUAUGGAUCAAAUACAAACAAUAACUCUGAAUACACGGCAGCUACUGAUGUAGAAUUUUCAGUUGAUGUUCAAGAACCUUUUAAAACAACCAGAAAAAGGAAAUUAGAUGAUGAAGGAUUUGUAACACCAGCAACUCCAGAUAUCCCAAAGUCAUCUAGUAAAUAUGAGAUGCCAUCUGGCAAUGCCGAGAUGCAGAGGAAUGGUGAUUAUUUAGAAUAUUAUGAUUAUGAAAAAGGGGAUGCGGGCGGAGGGACAGGUUUUGAGGAAGAAAAUCCCCUUUAUAAAACUCAGGUUUAUAAAACAGCUGCAGAUUUAAUUAAAGAUAUUGCUGAAGAAAGUAAAAUGACGACGUUGGAAUGGUCAAGUGAACUUAGUGAAAGUGAAACCUUUGAAUCGUUUUGUGCUUCAAGAUUAGAUCGUUUGGUGACUGACGCUAAAGACCUAGAGGAAUCACUGAACAAACAGAAAGAUUUGCUACGUAAACGACUUGGAUUUAUAUCACGAACACUACAAGAUAUCUGAAUCUUGACAAGUUCAAUCCAGGGAAAACACGUACGAUGCAAGAUGUAUAAAAGAUUGACCCAUAUCCUUGAAAUACAAAAAGAUGCAGUGCCAGUUAUUAGAGAACCUGUCUAGGAUGAAAGAACUGAAUACAGGGUAUAAAGAUAUUAAAAUAUUAUCAAAAAAAAUAAUGAUUUAUUCAAAUCUUUGAAAACUGAGUGUAUUGUUUAAUUUGUUUUGCCUUUAUUGGUUUUUGUAUGCCCACAAAAUUAUCAUUCUCGGAGUGCAUUGUUGUUAAACUUUACACACUACAGUUGUUGUUAACUUGUUUUCAAAUUUACUGGUAUUGAUCAUUUAGUGGUUAAAGGGAAAAUUCUAAAUUUUUUCAAUGCAUAUCACAGUUAUUUCUUCAUUUAGAGUUAGUUCGUCAUGCAAUGUUUUAAAGGUCAGUGGGAUGGCAAAUUUUCUUCUGAUCAUAUUUUGAAUUUUAAAGCUUGUGAAAAUGAUGCAAGAACAAUAUUCUGGAUGGAACACUAUGGAAGGAGUAAUCUGAACAUACUGAAUGCUAUACGCUAUGGAGAUCUCGACAAAAUUUUUUGAAACUUGUCAAUAUAGAAUUCUCAUUCUAUUCAUAAUGUUUUUUUUAUGUUCACAUCUUUACUUUGAAAGUUUAGUACAUAAUUCAUAAUAUAUUUUCUUGCUAUGAGAAAUUUGUUGGCACUACAUGUAAUUCUAGAUUCACCAGUAGCAUAGGCGACUUUGGGGUCAGAUAAUCCCUUGUCUAUGUCAAGUUUAUACAGGUAUAAUAUGAUUCACCAAUACUGGUACUAGUUAUAAGUUGGCCAGUGCUGUUAGAUGUAUUUCUGGUAAAUAUUGACCCAAGUGAAAAUAAGACCUUUUUCCAUUAGACCCUGGUGUUAUUUAUGUGUGUUAUAUUUUAUUUAUUAAUUGUUAACCUUAUUUAACUGGACAUUCCAUUGUAAAAUAUUUGUAAAUUACAUGAAUUGUACCCAUCUGUAUAUUAUUUUCUUUAUGAAUUGAUAAAAUAUAUUGAACCAAAAUAUGUAAAUUAUUUCAUUUGAUCUGAUUGAUAAAGAGGCAUACUUUCAACCAUACUUACAUAUCAUAUUCAUAAAAACCUCAGCCUCCCCU